GGAACAUGGAGUUCCUGACUCCACUAAUGGGAGUCAGGUAAUGGCGCGAGGGUUAUGAGUCAAAGCUGGCUUUCUCCAGGAUCCUGGGCAGCCCCCUAACUUCUCUGAGCCACAGUCUCCUCGUUUCACUACCAUGAAGGACCUUGUCCACCCAGAACUUCCAGGGACCACAUUUCAGGCCUAAAGGCCCAAGAACCAGGAGCUCUGAUGUUGAAGGGCAGGGGAAGAUGGGCAUCCCAGCUCAAGAGGAGAGGCAGAAUUCAUCCUUCCUCCACCCUUUUGCUCCUUUGGGCCCUCCAUGGAUUGGGUGAUGCCUGUCUACAUUGAUUUCUCCUGCUUCUAGGAUGGAGAGCAGUCUUCAGCCUGAGUCCCAUCCCUAGGUAAGUAACUGAAUUGGGGUUUGUCUUGGCUAAAGUUAAGAUUAACAACCAG
rnacentral:lncRNA from 1 species